UUCCUGGUCUUUAGUUUCCCCACCUGUAAAAUGCUGAAGUUGGGGGGAAAAAUCCUUUCACUUUCAUUCCGGUGGCGUGAUACGAGAUUCUAAGAAACAGGGAGAAAAUUCCGUGAGUGGAGCCAAUAACCAAGUCAAACAUCAAGGGGGUCUGUGAACACUGCUCCAAGGAAUCUCUCUCUGGAUAACCAGCCAGACCUUGUGCCCUAGUCCCAGCCCAUCAUCUCCACUGCUAGAGAAAAAAAAUACAGUUAGUCUGUCCAAGGCUGUUAGAGUCCUCCAACACAUAAGACGCAUUUCCGUUUUACUAGCUUCAUGGUCUGCUUGGGGUGGGGAUGGCGGGGAGAUCGUAUCCUUGAAGUAGGCACUAGGACUGUGAGUCACUUGCCUGUCUAGAGCACCAGGACUGCUUGCAAAGGGCUGAGGAGAUUUCCAUCAAUGGACAAGAGCAUGAAUUUAGAGUAAACAUAGACUACACUUAGAGAUCAGAGAUCAAUCUAGAGAUAAAAUACAGUUUUCUCUAAAGGGGAUGGGAGAUGUUGGACAAGAAAUACCAGAUUUUCUAAAUGGUUCAUUUAUGUCAGGCUCUAUGGUGGGGACUUUUAUGUUAUUUGACUUGAUCCUCACAACAAUUCUGAAAAAUCUUUUUUCUGGGCACCCAUAGUCCCAGCUACUGNNNNNNNNNNNNNNNNNNUUUUUUUUUUUUUUUUUUGAGAUGGAGUUUUUUGCUCUUGUUGCUCAGGCUGGAGUGCAAUGGUGCAAUCUCAAGUAAAAUAUACUUAAAAUAAUUGUAGCCUUUUAACCAUGUUUUUUUUGUUGUUGUUGUUUUGUUUGUUUGUUUGGUUGGUUUUUUAAUUGAGAAAGAGUUUUGCUCAGCCACCCAGGCUAGAGUGCAGUGGCGU
rnacentral:lncRNA from 1 species